AGGAUUAAAACAAGAUGAACCAGGACAAGCAGGAAGUCAGAAGUCUUCUACCAAGCAGCCAACUGUAGGGGGCACAAGCUCAACUCCUAGAGCACAAAAGGCCAUUGUGAAUCAUCCCAGUGCUGCACUUAUGGCUCUGAGGAGAGGAUCAAGAAACCUUGUCUUUCGAGAUUUUACAGUAAGCAUGCCUUGAAACCCUUAUCUGUAAAAGUCUGAGUCCUGUAUGAUUUAGAUCUUUAUUCUUUUUUUUCCUUUCUUUUUAAGGAUGAAAAAGAGGGACCAAUAACUAAACACAUCCGACUAACAGCUGCCUUAAUAUUAAAAAAUAUUGGUAAAUAUUCAGAAUGUGGUCGCAGGUGAGUAAUAUGUUUUCUGUAGCCAAAGUGAAUUUAGUUUAUUUUAUUUUUACAUAUAAGUUAAUAAAAUUAGAUAACUGUAUUUUCUUCAUUGUUUUUCUCAUCAAUUUUGCAAAUACAUCCAAAAGUUUAUGCCUAGGUCAGGCCAUGAUGAGCUCUUAAAAGUC
rnacentral:lncRNA from 1 species